GUGAUUAUACCAGCAUUAAUGCAUCGGAUCACAUCAGAACUCCGCAGUUUAAUAUGUUUGGACGAGAGUAAUAUUAGAAUGGGUAAUCCUUUAAGAAGUCCACUUGUUGCAUCCC